GCUCAGUUAGCAUACUGGUCAGGGCACCUCCCUUGUAACGCGAAGGGACCAGGUUCGAGCCCUGGUUAAAGCA